GAAGCACAUUUAGUUGUAGUGCCAUGGUAACAACUCCACCUCUCCAUCUCUCCAAUUGGUUCAGUGGAGCUCCUACCACACAGAUGCAACCACUUAGUGUGGGAUCAUUCAGUCUGACAUGAGUGGGAUGAGGGCACACAAGAACGGGAAAGUGAACAGCUGCCUUAACCCAGAAACUUUUGCCUGCACUGAUAUUGUACAGCCUGGUGUCUUGUAAUGUAGCCUGGUACACAACACAGGUCAUAAUCCCAAUGGUGGUGGGCCUAUGGUGAGUGUAACAGUAUGUUUUAAUGAGCCUCUCGUUUUCAGAUUGAGGCUAAAUUUUACAUUUGGGUUUCGGCCUGAACACAUUUAAAAGCCUCUGCUGUGCAGUCAAAAGUGCAAGUAGAAGUUGGCAGAGAAGAAAAGGAGGGAGGAGAGAUGUUUGACUUAUAGUGAAGGCCUUUCACCAGGUUGGGAACUCAUCGUUUUUAUUUCUACAUUAUAAAAUCAGUGAUAUCUGCCUGGGGUGGCCUCAAGGUUGACCCUAUAGAUUUUUCUGAUAAAAAUGCCUGCCCGGAGAUCGUUAACUGCGACAAGAACAUCAGUGUAUCAUAUUUAUCUAUUUAUGCUGUAAUGAAAUUAAAACAUAUGAGGGUCUGUCAGUGACCUCAUGUGUAAGGUCUUAGUGAUGAAGCGGCGUACUCAGUUCACAUUAUUACAGACGUGAAUGUGUAUCUAUCAUAUUUAUCUAAGUGUAAUAAAGAGUAACUGCAUUACAUAGCAGGUGAUCACUUAGAUUCCAUUUUCAUUUAGUUCCCUCCUGCCUCGCCGACUCAGUGACCCAACAAUCGAUAUCUACAGCCAUGCUAAUAAAAAUCUGUUCUGGAAUGACCUACAUCUUUACUGGAAUAACACAUUUUCUGAGUUUCUCUCCACCUUAUGCGUUCAUGCUCCUGCCCUUCCAACGAACAAAUUCACCCAUCCCCCUGUCCUUAUUUAUCUUUCCAUCUCUUUCUUCAGAUGUGAUAUUCAUACUCAUAUUUUAGCCUGGAGGAUAGAAAGAUAAAUAAUUAUUCUCCCUCUGCUCUGAAGGGGGAAUUUGGGGAUGACAGAGCUAAAUAAAGCUGUAAUUGGUGUAAUUAGAGUUGUAAUGGAGUGUGAAUCGAGUAGAGAGAAAAGUUUGACAGUUUCCAAGGUCAGGUACAUUACCAGCUCUGAAUCACAGAAUUAAUUCACUGCAUGCUUGCCCUCUUCACCCAUUUCUCUGUUUUCAGUCUUUCCAGUCCUAAAAUUGUGUUUAGCAUUACAAAUGAGCCUGGAGUGCUGGUGAGGACUGUUCAGGCCUGUGUGGGAAAAAGACCUUUGUUGUUACGAUACGAUACAAUAUAACUUUAUUGUCCGUUUACACAAAAAUUAUUUUUGCGUUCCCGAGCAGCUCCGCUAAAAAAGAAAAAUACACACAGAUUUAGACAACAAUUACACAUAUAGUGCAAAGAUGAAAACACAUCAACAGCCAUGACAACAAAACAUGUUUCAUGAUAUCCUUGGAUUCAGAUCUUAAUUGGCAACACAUCGAUUUUGGUUUAGCAGCAGGAUAGACUGAUGUAUAAAAGAGUUCUUAAGUCUGUUGUAUCUAAACGAAGGGACUGUUAGAAGGCAAACAUACUGUUAGCAAGCCUAAGCAUGCUCUUCUUGUGGGUUGUUUGAAAGGAGUGUGCAACAGGUUGACUAAUAAUCUUAGCACAAACUUUGAGUUGAUUGAAGCUGUUUUUCAUUAUGUUAGGUGUGAAAGGGAGAUAUAGUAGAUGAAGUCAGGUUUCAGGAGGAGAAGGAAGAGAGCGAAAUUCGCUCAGAGGGAAACAAAUAAUCAGAAAUAGGUUGUUAUUACCGAGGUCACGGAGAAAAUGAGAGCUACAGAGCAAGUUAAAGAGGUAAAAAGGUGAGAGGCAGAGAAUUGUGGUUAUCCUUUAAGUCAGCCCAGGGGCAGCAGUAGUGACCAUGUUCUGCCUUCUCCAAACCUACUCUCAUCUCUCUCCUUCCCUCCUUCCCUCAAACCUCCUGCUUUCCUGCUUGCCUCUCGAGAUUCUUCAGUCGCCUCAACUAAAGAUCAGUGCUUCUGUUUUCUCCAUGACUUUUAAAAAGAAUAUUACAUGAAUUUACAUUUAGAAUUUACUGUACAGUCCUCUCCAAAACAACUCGCAGUUAGGGGCUGGAUAUCUUUAUCAAGUCCACUGUGACAGGGCCAUUAUUGGCUGUUUUCCAAUUUGGGUGUGUGACUUUUCUGUUGUAGAACUAAACCCUUUAGCCACACUGCUGCUUAAUUUCCUCUCUUUGCUUGAGGAUGUCAAGUGACUUCAAAAAUCUGAUCAAAUGGCACACUACAAUUUGUAAAAAAAAAAA